GCUCUUUUCUCUCCCGUUAGCACAAAAUAUUUUACUUACACAUAACAAAACAUAUGAUGUAAGUGAAUACUUUGUGUUAAUGGAAAAAGGGC
rnacentral:miRNA from 13 species